AUGCAUAUAUUUACAUGCAAAUUUCCAUGCAUUAUUUUCGUAUUAUAUAAAAUUAAUAAUUUGGAAAGAAAGUCUAUGAACAAUAUUUAUAGAAUGAAUGAAUCUUCUGACAAUGGUGGAAGAGAUUCAGGAGAAUCUGAGUUAUACCAUAAAGAAGUUUCUGAUGGUUUUUCUAUUACUUCAAAGUCUCUUAUAAUGGAAUUAUCUUCAAGUGUGGCUUCUUUGCUUCGAUCUAACUUUUGAUUAAAGUAGAUACUAUUGAUUUUAUAAGCAUGGUCCAUAAGUUUUGGAAAUAUAUGAAUAAUUGUGUUAAUUCCUUGUGUGGAUGGAAGGAAAUGGAAGUUGGUAAGAGCUUGUAUAUGACCAUAUACCAAGGCAUCAAGUUCUCGUAUAUGUUAAAACUACUUACUUGUCACCAAAAAAGAAGUUUCUUCCAUUCAAUCUUUCUGAUAAUAUCACGCAACAAUUUUCAACUUCAUUAGAGACUUCUUUUAAAGUUCUAUUAUACCAACCAAGUACGGUUUUAAAUGGUUGGAUAAACUUGUCCCUUUGUUUGAAAUAAAGGACACUAUAUUAUCAAAUUCAGAUAGUACAAAUGCACCACAUUUAAUAAAAGGCAAAGAACCAUUUGGAGACAUAUACUCGGCAUCUCUUCUUGACUUUAUUUGAAACUCCAAAUUACACAUUUUGAGAAAAGCUUGAACAGCAAGACAGUUAGCAUUGUCUGGCAAUAAUAUUUGUUCUACUUCGAAUGGUCUAUAUAAUUGUAUCAAUUGAGGCCAUGGUUCCUGAGCUGUAAAUAGAGGACAAAUUGCAGUACAUACGAAAGUAGCCAUCAAAGAAUUAUCCUAAAAUUAAAAAUAUAUUUGGUUCUCAUUAAAUAUGAAUUAAAACUUAAUAUUUUGUUUUUAACUGGAAUGGUAUAGACCUUAAGAAUAUUUGUGUAUUAAUAAAUAAUGAUCCCAAUGUUCGUGUUUGUAACAAUUCUUUGUUACUUUCUAUCG